GGAGAGAGUCCAAGGGGCCAUAAAGAUGAUGAAGGGAUGGGAGUGACUCUCCUAUAAGGAAAGGCUGAGACAGCUGGGACUGUUUAGCCUGGAGGAGAAGACUCAGGGAGAAUCUCAUCAGUAAAUAUAAUAAAUAAAUGAUAAAUACCAGUAAAAUCAGUAAAAUUUACUGAUAAAUAUCAGUAAAUCUUAUCAAUAAAUACCUGAAGGAAGAGUUCAAAGAGGAUGGAGCCAGGCUCUCUUCAGUGGUGUCCAGUGACAGGACAAGUGGUAAUGGGCACAAGAUAAAACACAAGAAAUUCUAUUUGAAUAUCAGGAAACGUUUUGUUACUGUGGGGGGUGACUGAGUGCACAAACAGGUUGCCCAGAGAGGUUAUGAGUGUUGUCCGGAGAGGCUGUGGGGUCUCCCUCCUUGGAGAUCUCCAAAUGUCACCUGAACAUGGUCCUGGGAAACCUGCUCUUGGGUGGUCCUGCUUAAGCAGGGUUUGGACCAGAUGCCCUCCAGAGGUACCUUACAGCCUCAACCAUUCUGUGGUUCUGUGAUGUAAGUCAGCCAAAGAACUCUUCCUAACUCAGCUGAUUCAGUUUUUUUCCUUUGUGACUAUGGGGAUCAUGGUCGGCAUCCCUCAUGGAACCUAGAAGUUACAAGAAUCACUAACAGAUUUACUAGGGAAAGAGGGGACAGAGGCCCGUUUUUUGCUGUUUGUCCAGAUUGUUUAUGAAGACCAGAAUUGCACUUGCUCUUUGACCAAAAGAUUCAUAUUAACAGAUUUUAAAAUCCUUAAAAGGAUGGCAACACUGAAGAGAGCAGGUGCUAUACCUUUUCCCCCAAACUUCUGUGGACACAAAGAACAGAUUCUUUCCUUCUUCACAACAUCUGCUCUGCAUAUGUGAAGUCUAGUCCCUCUCUGUAUGGGUGAGGGAUGGCUAACUCAACUGAGGAUCCAAUUGGAGGUUUUUUAUCCAUAAGAUUGCCACAACAGCCUACUGACACUUCCGCUACCAAUUCUGCAGCAGGUUGGUCUGAGACUGCUGUCCCAUGGCUGUGCAAUGAAAUCCCUUACUACUGUGGUAUCAGUCCAUCCAUUAAAAAGUGCUACAGAAUUUGCACCCCAGAUGUUUUUAGAUUCAUGCAGCACCAACCACUUGAAAAAAAUUUCCUCUGAAGACUGCUAUCAGCACAGAAACAACUGUAGCUUAAUCACGGUUUUAUUUGAAAAAGAAGAACACAUAUUUACUUUGAUAAUAUUUUUGAGUUCCUGAAGGCCAGAUCCUGUUCCCACUGGUAUCUGUGGCAAAACUCCCAUUAACUUCAAUGGCAACAAAAGCAGUCACUUAGUUUGCAUAAUCUGCAGAAAGUAAAUAUUUUAACAAUUAUUAUCUGUGUUAUUUAAGUAGCUAAUAAAAAUGUGCAUUUAAAACUGUUUCA
rnacentral:lncRNA from 1 species